AGGUCAGGAUGCAGCAGCAGAAGCAAGGAGGAGAACUCUGAACAUGCAGGCAUGACUAGGUUCAUUUUCUCCACGUCUUUCCGGCCAUGUCCCUCUUCGCUCCUUCCCUCAAAGCCAUUGCCUCCCAUCAGAAUCAGCUCUCCUUCUUCUAACAAUAAUAAAAUGUACAGCAUGGAGAAAGAGAACAAGGACAUUGGCACUGGCUAUGAUAAUGACAGUAGAAAACACCAGGAGCAGAGUUCAGAAGAAAAAUGUUAUAAGGCUUCCUUGCUGUAUUCCAGUGGAGGGGAUAUGAAGAAGGGGUUAUUGGGACCACCUCUGAUCCCCCCCAUAGGCAAGGCAGUAAGUCCCU